AAAAAUUUAUUCUUAUUGUAACGGAAGGUAAGAACCCGAGAAACCAGGGCAUGGUGAAGGGUUUUAUAGGUGGACGCAACCCACUUAAACACAAAGUUGAUAAAUGAAGGUUUUGAGUUGGAAUUGUCAAGGGCUCGGGAAUAAGGUAACUAUCGGUUAUCUUCGGGACAUUUGGAAACAACACCGGCCAGAUUUUUUAUUUCUUUCAGAAACAAAACAAUC
rnacentral:lncRNA from 1 species